AUCGAUAAGAAGAUAAUUCGUAUUGUUUGCCAACCGCUAAAAAAGAAGUUGUUGUUUGCCAUGUCGCAUUCUACACAUUUUCAGUCCAAGCCUGAUGCAGGGCAAUCCUCCCGGGUUAAGGAGUCCCUGCUGCAGUUUCACCAGUAAAAAAAUUUACUUGUUACAAUUCACUUGGAGGACCACAUAUGCCAUGCAGUGAUGCAUGGAGAUGGACAGUAAAAAUCAACAGAAUGCCAUCAAAGACUACCUGGGGGGAGAAUCGAAUGAAGCAAGAGAUGUCUUUUUAUUCAUCUUUGAGUAUCUGGAGGAGCUGGACAUAUCAAAUUGUCUUGAUGAACAGUGCCUGAAGGUCCAUGCCAUGUUCUGUGAAUAAUCUAUUAGGAAUCUGCAAGGAUUCUCUCUGUGUAGUCUAUGUGUGCAUGUAUGUAUGUAUGUAUGUGUACUGCAUGUCAAGAACUGUUUACCUGAUCAUUCAACUGUUCAUUCAGCUGCUCAGACUUUAUAAUAGUUGGAACAUAUCUAUUGUUAAACACUACUAAUUACACUAGUAAGAUUUUUAAUGUUUUAAAGAAAUCUC